AGGUGAAGGAUUCGAGUUGGUGCUGAAGAAAAUGCAGCCUUAUUAUUUUGCCUGUGGAGAGCAUGAUGGAAUUCAUUGCAACAAUGGGACAAUGAAGUUUGUUGUGAUGCCCCUCAAACGUUGGCCUUACUAAGUUGACGACCAAAUUAAGUAUUUGGACGAAUUGUCUGAUAAUGUUCUUGACAAUUCCAACGGAAGAAUUGAUUCUUGUAUUCAGAUGUAUUUAUAUGUAUUUACUAAGAUGACAUCUUGGUUGAAACUUGUCGGAGAAUGCCGACCAAAUACAGUAGUUUAGCUUGGAAUAAACUAACGAGUGUUACACUUUAGUAGAUUUUGGAAUUUCAUUUUUAAAUUUAUUGUGAUUGAGUUUUGAUUAAAUAGGCGCUAUGAUGAGAUAUAUAUCUGUAGCGAUACGUUUGACAAGGUCUUCCAUAUGUUUGAGCUUGGAAUUUGAGUGUUUCUUUUUUUUAAGAAAAAAUAUAGAUAGCGUUAAUUAAUACUAGUUCCCACAGUCAAAUCACGCAUAUUGCUUCUUUUUUCUGGGAUUGGUAAUGUGGGGCUGAACCAUUUGAUCAAUUGAUAGACUUUUAUAUAUAUAUAUACAUGUUAGAAAUUCAUUAAACGUAUAUAAGUAUUUGACUUUAAAAUUAUUUACUAUUGUACAUUAUUUUGAGCUUGCCGUGGG
rnacentral:lncRNA from 1 species